UACGUAGGGGGCAAGCGUUGUCCGGAUUCAUUGGGCGUAAAGAGCGUGUAGGCGGCCAGAAAAGUCCGCUGUGAAAACUCGAGGCUCAACUUCGAGCUGUCGGUGGAAACUUUCUGGCUAGAGUCCGGAAGAGGAGAGUGGAAUUCCUGGUGUAGCGGUGAAAUGCGCAGAUAUCAGGAAGAACACCCGUGGCGAAGGCGGCUCUCUGGGACGGUACUGACGCUGAGACGCGAAAGCGUGGGGAGCGAACAGG
rnacentral:rRNA from 1 species